rnacentral:lncRNA from 1 species
AGGGUAGGUAGACAAAGAAGCAUCACAUAGGUGAGAAUGCUUAUCGAUACUUUGAGACUUCUGGGUAAAAAUGUAGCACAAGAAAAAACUUUUGUUACAGGUUUAGUGGAUUAACACUGAACUUCAUGGGAGACAUCAGCCCACCUGACUCCCGUAGUCAUUGCUUUCUGAGGGUCACUCAUCUGUGAACUAUAAGAAGUUUUUAUGAGAAUAUAUUUGCUGAAAAAUGUGUGUGGCUGUUAUCCUCGUUUACACGGAUGCUGCUGCUUCAGGCUAUUGCUGCACUCAAAGCAUUCUCAGAACUCCCAUGGGAGGUGCAUACAGCUUCAAAGAGUGUUUGGAAGGUACAGAGUGGUUGCUGGACUCCGUGUAAGUUUGCAAGGAAGUGCGUCUUUCAGACUCUUUUGGAGAAUUGUAAACAUAUUUUUCUACUAAAAGUAUUUUUGCAUUUCUCCUAUACCAAAUUUAUUCUUGCUUUUUAAAGCUGGUUCUGAGUUUAAUUCAAUCAGAAUGCUUUCAUCUAAAAAUAGUUUGCCUGCAUUUUUUCUCCAUUAGAACAAAAGAGGCUGUGGUGCUGUUCUCCCACCUCAUCAUACUGUUCUUCCUCAGCGGGCAGCAGCAAUGCCAAGCUGUAAAGAUCCAUUCCAGGGCUUGUAUCUGGCCUCUUGGAGAAGUCACACGUAGUUCUCCUGGCAGUGUAAAAACAGACUCAGGGUCUGUGAUGUGGUUAAACCUACUGACGCGUUUCUGAGCUGACUAGUGAUGGUGUUUUCUGUCACUUCAUUGUGCUUGUUCAAACUACUGUAAGAAGAACCAUUGCUGUUGCAGUGUGGUGUCGUGGAAGUGUCUGGUGGUGCAAAGUAGGGUGUCUGGUGAAACACUGGGAGGCAAAUACCCUAAGGAAGGAAAACAACCACUAGGCACCAAAGAUAUCAAUGUUUGCACCAAGCUUUCCCAGGAGCAUUGUGACGCAUUGCCUGGAGAUUAGGAAACCAGGAAAUCUUUACAGCAGAUGGAAGGAGUCUGGAAUACGGUUGAUUGGGAAUGUAGAGUAGAAAGCAAUCAAUACAGGAGCCAGGUCCUGAAGAGAAGGGUCUAUAGAGCCCAGUUACAUUAAUGUGGUAGACUGGAAGAGUGGUCUGCAGCAGGUAGGUUCAUUUUAUAGCAGUAUGAAUGAGAAGCCAAGUCUGCCAGUCAGUCUCUAGCUGUUCUUUGGUCUGGUCUCGGUUUAUUGGGUAACUGGCUGCCUGGAAAGUUGGUUGUUGACAGACCUUCAGAGCUGAGAGCCCAGUGGAGCCUGACAGAAGUUACAUUCCUGGGAAAUGCACUCAGGGCAGAAGUGCUGGUAACUUAUAUUCAGUUAUUAUUGACUCCGAAGUCUAUCUGAGGACCAUUUAUUGACAGUCUCAAGUGUGUAUUAAUAUGGUGCUCAGAA